rnacentral:misc_RNA from 1 species
GUGAAGAACGCAGCGAAAUGCGAUAAGUAAUGUGAAUUGCAGAAUUCAGUGAAUCAUCGAAUCUUUGAACGCACAUUGCGCCCGCCAGUAUUCUGGCGGGCAUGCCUGUUCGAGCGUCAUUACAACCCUCAGGCCCCCGGGCCUGGCGUUGGGGAUCGGCGGAAGCCCCCUGUGGGCACACGCCGUCCCUCAAAUACAGUGGCGGUCCCGCCGCAGCUUCCAUUGCGUAGUAGCUAACACCUCGCAACUGGAGAGCGGCGCGGCCAUGCCGUAAAACACCCAACUUCUGAAUGUUGACCUCGAAUCAGGUAGGAAUACCCGCUGAACUUAAGCAUAUCAAUAAGCGGAGGA